AAAAAAAAAAAAAAAAAAACAAAAACUACUGAGACAAGAAUGUGAACGUAACCCUAACCCAACCCAACCAAAGUCGAGCAUCUUACUACUCCACACUGUUGUAUUCUAAGCCCCACGCUCCUACCCGCUGCUGGAGUUGUCUCCAAUGGCUACGCGAGCGUUGCGCGAGGGCGCUAUCUCACCUCAAAGACACACGCACGCGCCCCGCGCGGCACCACGGGACGGAAGCCGCCAUCAAAGGAGAGUGCCGCCAGCUCACCGGCACGCGCCACCACUUCACACCGCUUCCUUUUGUCUAGUUCCGAACGUUUAUCUCAUGGAGCUGGCAUGCACGUGCACUCUACACAGCCGUCCUUUUACAAUCACAAUACCUUCAUCAUCGCCGCCAUUGUCCACACGGCACGCUGCAAAUGCCAGAGGUGCCGGGCCGCCGAUUGACACGCAGGUCCGCUGACGGCCCCUCGUCAACGGUCUGGACGACCGGUUCCUCCCUGCGCAUGGGGGACAGCGAGGGUGUCACCCCGCCGAGCACUCAGACGACCGACCCUUUGCCAUUUCGUGGACUAGACAUCGAUUCCACUAUAGCUUUAACAUUUAGACUAUGCAACUCAGCGGGCUUUGCUUUCGCGAGCCGAUGGACCACCCAAACGGCUGUGUUCGCUUACGUUCACAUUUUUUUUCUCUCUUAUUCUUAGGGGUGACCUGUUGUAAUUCUCCCCCUCUCCGGCCACUCAACGUCCAUUACCCACCGGCAAGCGUUCUCUGCCGGUCGAUGUUCUUUGGAGCAGACAUGCCAGGAUAUCCGCAACUAAAAACCUUUGUCUUCCCUUGCUCGCUCAUCGCGGGAAACGCUAAGUACAGCAUAUAUAUUUCGGGUUUCUAAAUGCCAUGUCAUCAUUCAAAACAAUAAAUGCAUAAAUAAAUAUUAAA